rnacentral:lncRNA from 1 species
CAGGCAGGAAUGGCCUGCUUGGGGACAUAGAGAGCUUCCAGGGUUUUCCCGCUGCGUUCUCCACUCCUGUAUUUCGCUCUGCUCUCUAGAUUGAAUCACCUCCAGGGUUCUGCAUGAGCAGUCCACUUCCUUCAGAGGGUCUGUGGUUCUUCCUGGGAUUCCUGGUUCGUUCUUGCAGUUGACCUGGAGGUAAAAUCCACGAUGCGCUCCUCUGCACCGCUGCUCUGUCCAUCCAAGUCAGAUUGGCAAUCUAGUCCUGCCUCCCGUUGGCCAUGAUGAUCCAAUCCAUGCUCUUCGUUUUAUGUAUGGUAGUCACGCACUCAUUCCCUUAGAAUUUCAUAUUCAAACAAGAUUCAUUGCAUGCCUACAAUUUUCCAAGCAUUGUAUUAGAUGUCGUAUGCAAAAUUAUGGCAAGUGGUGUAAAAAUAUGUGGAGUAGUGUAAUUCUAAUCAGCUUUCCAAAGCCAGAUUAAAUCUCAGUUUUACUUCAAGCUCAUAUGACCAUCUCUGUUCUCUUUCUGUAAUUGUUUAACUUUUCAGUGCAAGUUUUUGAAAAUAACAUCAAGGCAAAAAAAGAGCAAAACAUCAUAGGUUUACAGCACAAUUAAUAUUUUACAAAGUAAAUAAAGCACCUAAUAAUUAAUCCCCAUAUUAUUGGAACUCCAGAAAUGCCACAAUGGCCCAUGUGUAACUGUCCCUUAGAAAGAUAACCAGCCUCCUGACUUCUCACACCAUAGGCAGUUUAGAAUAAGUGUAAUCAUACAGUUUAUACAAGGAAGAAAUAUAUGUCUUUCACUCAAUUUAUGUUUGUAAGAACAUCAUAUUUUUACACAUUGUAAUAACUAAGUAAUCACUAUUGUACUGUAUUCCAUUAGAGUAAUAUAGAAUUUAUUUUUUCAUGUUACUAUGUGUAGUUACUAUUUUCCAGCUUGGGUUAGUAAGAAUACAUCUGAUAUUACUAUUCACAUACAAGUUAUGUAUUUAAUUUAUGUACAAUUCAUGUAGAGAUAUGUUUUUGUUUCUUUUUGAAAAAAAUAUCUAAGAAUGCAAUGGCUGG